ACGGUUAUAAAUCAACAUAUUGAUUUAUAAGCAUGGAAAUCCCCUGAGUGAAACAACGAAUUGCUGUGUGUAGUCUUUGCCCAUCUCCCACGAUGGACUUUUUUUUAA
rnacentral:other from 1 species